UUAAGUUAUUAAGGGCGCACGGUGGAUGCCUUGGCACUAGAAGCCGAUGAAGGACGUUACUAACGACGAUAUGCUUUGGGGAGCUGUAAGUAAGCUUUGAUCCAGAGAUUUCCGAAUGGGGAAACCCAGCAUGAGUUAUGUCAUGUUAUCGAUAUGUGAAUACAUAGCAUAUCAGAAGGCACACCCGGAGAACUGAAACAUCUUAGUACCCGGAGGAAGAGAAAGAAAAUUCGAUUCCCUUAGUAGCGGCGAGCGAAACGGGAAGAGCCCAAACCAACAAGCUUGCUUGUUGGGGUUGUAGGACACUCUAUACGGAGUUACAAAGGACGACAUUAGACGAAUCAUCUGGAAAGAUGAAUCAAAGAAGGUAAUAAUCCUGUAGUCGAAAAUGUUGUCUCUCUUGAGUGGAUCCUGAGUACGACGGAGCACGUGAAAUUCCGUCGGAAUCUGGGAGGACCAUCUCCUAAGGCUAAAUACUCUCUAGUGACCGAUAGUGAACCAGUACCGUGAGGGAAAGGUGAAAAGCACCCCGGAAGGGGAGUGAAAUAGAACCUGAAACCGUGUGCUUACAAGUAGUCAGAGCCCGUUAAUGGGUGAUGGCGUGCCUUUUGUAGAAUGAACCGGCGAGUUACGAUUUGAUGCAAGGUUAAGCAGUAAAUGUGGAGCCGUAGCGAAAGCGAGUCUGAAUAGGGCGUUUAGUAUUUGGUCGUAGACCCGAAACCAGGUGAUCUACCCUUGGUCAGGUUGAAGUUCAGGUAACACUGAAUGGAGGACCGAACCGACUUACGUUGAAAAGUGAGCGGAUGAACUGAGGGUAGCGGAGAAAUUCCAAUCGAACCUGGAGAUAGCUGGUUCUCUCCGAAAUAGCUUUAGGGCUAGCCUCAAGUGAUGAUUAUUGGAGGUAGAGCACUGUUUGGACGAGGGGCCCCUCUCGGGUUACCGAAUUCAGACAAACUCCGAAUGCCAAUUAAUUUAACUUGGGAGUCAGAACAUGGGUGAUAAGGUCCGUGUUCGAAAGGGAAACAGCCCAGACCACCAGCUAAGGUCCCAAAAUAUAUGUUAAGUGGAAAAGGAUGUGGCGUUGCCCAGACAACUAGGAUGUUGGCUUAGAAGCAGCCAUCAUUUAAAGAGUGCGUAAUAGCUCACUAGUCGAGUGACACUGCGCCGAAAAUGUACCGGGGCUAAACAUAUUACCGAAGCUGUGGAUUGUCCUUUGGACAAUGGUAGGAGAGCGUUCUAAGGGCGUUGAAGCAUGAUCGUAAGGACAUGUGGAGCGCUUAGAAGUGAGAAUGCCGGUGUGAGUAGCGAAAGACGGGUGAGAAUCCCGUCCACCGAUUGACUAAGGUUUCCAGAGGAAGGCUCGUCCGCUCUGGGUUAGUCGGGUCCUAAGCUGAGGCCGACAGGCGUAGGCGAUGGAUAACAGGUUGAUAUUCCUGUACCACCUAUAAUCGUUUUAAUCGAUGGGGGACGCAGUAGGAUAGGCGAAGCGUGCGAUUGGAUUGCACGUCUAAGCAGUAAGGCUGAGUAUUAGGCAAAUCCGGUACUCGUUAAGGCUGAGCUGUGAUGGGGAGAAGACAUUGAGUCUUCGAGUCGUUGAUUUCACACUGCCGAGAAAAGCCUCUAGAUAGAAAAUAGGUGCCCGUACCGCAAACCGACACAGGUAGUCAAGAUGAGAAUUCUAAGGUGAGCGAGCGAACUCUCGUUAAGGAACUCGGCAAAAUGACCCCGUAACUUCGGGAGAAGGGGUGCUCUUUAGGGUUAACGCCCAGAAGAGCCGCAGUGAAUAGGCCCAAGCGACUGUUUAUCAAAAACACAGGUCUCUGCUAAACCGUAAGGUGAUGUAUAGGGGCUGACGCCUGCCCGGUGCUGGAAGGUUAAGAGGAGUGGUUAGCUUCUGCGAAGCUACGAAUCGAAGCCCCAGUAAACGGCGGCCGUAACUAUAACGGUCCUAAGGUAGCGAAAUUCCUUGUCGGGUAAGUUCCGACCCGCACGAAAGGCGUAACGAUUUGGGCACUGUCUCAACGAGAGACUCGGUGAAAUCAUAGUACCUGUGAAGAUGCAGGUUACCCGCGACAGGACGGAAAGACCCCGUGGAGCUUUACUGUAGCCUGAUAUUGAAAUUCGGCACAGCUUGUACAGGAUAGGUAGGAGCCUUUGAAACGUGAGCGCUAGCUUACGUGGAGGCGCUGGUGGGAUACUACCCUAGCUGUGUUGGCUUUCUAACCCGCACCACUUAUCGUGGUGGGAGACAGUGUCAAGCGGGCAGUUUGACUGGGGCGGUCGCCUCCUAAAAGGUAACGGAGGCGCUCAAAGGUUCCCUCAGAAUGGUUGGAAAUCAUUCAUAGAGUGCAAAGGCAUAAGGGAGCUUGACUGCGAGACCUACAAGUCGAGCAGGGUCGAAAGACGGACUUAGUGAUCCGGUGGUUCCGCAUGGAAGGGCCAUCGCUCAACGGAUAAAAGCUACCCCGGGGAUAACAGGCUUAUCUCCCCCAAGAGUUCACAUCGACGGGGAGGUUUGGCACCUCGAUGUCGGCUCAUCGCAUCCUGGGGCUGUAGUCGGUCCCAAGGGUUGGGCUGUUCGCCCAUUAAAGCGGUACGCGAGCUGGGUUCAGAACGUCGUGAGACAGUUCGGUCCCUAUCCGUCGUGGGCGUAGGAAAUUUGAGAGGAGCUGUCCUUAGUACGAGAGGACCGGGAUGGACAUACCUCUGGUGUACCAGUUGUCGUGCCAACGGCAUAGCUGGGUAGCUAUGUGUGGACGGGAUAAGUGCUGAAAGCAUCUAAGCAUGAAGCCCCCCUCAAGAUGAGAUUUCCCAACUUCGGUUAUAAGAUCCCUCAAAGAUGAUGAGGUUAAUAGGUUCGAGGUGGAAGCAUGGUGACAUGUGGAGCUGACGAAUACUAAUCGAUCGAAGACUUAAUCAA
rnacentral:rRNA from 1 species